ensembl:lncRNA
UAUAUAUAUAAUGAUUAUUUAAUGAUUUGUUGUUUGUUUUUUCAUUACUUCACUGCACAUGUUUGUGUAACUUCGUGGCGCAAUUAUGGUGGAUCAUCCUCAUGAUGUUAUUGAUUUCAUAAAUAUGUGCAUGUGCCACAAUUUCGGGGCAGAGCUUUGUUCACACAGUAAGGACAGAUAUAGGUCACAUACGAACCAUCAAGGGCAAAAAAUCGGAUUUGAGCCAUGAGGCUUGUAGUAUGAACAUUGCUACAGAAAAUCCCUACAUUGUGUGAAUGUAGGCAAUAAAACUGCCAUUACAUGCACCACCUUCUCAAUGAGGAGAAUAGAUCCCUCUGCUCUCCUUACAGGACUGAACCAAAUCCCCUAAAAUGUGGAGGAUAAAGUUUCAAAGCAGCAGCACUGCACCAUAAAGACUGCACAUGCAUCAGGUUUUUUUCCACAACAGUACAGGUUAAAUACACAUAGCAACGGACUUGGAUCCCUUUGAUUGCUUUGUUGUUUUUUUUAAAAAAGAGAAUUAAAAGGAAAAGGAGACAAGAAGAAACCACCAAAGACUAGAAGGUGUGAAGGUGAGAAUAGGAAAGCUUUUCUGCCAGUGAUAUCCAGAGCUGUGGGAAGGACGAUACAUUGGCAGUCUCAGGUAACGACAGAUGCCUCAGCCAUGUGACCUUACCCACCUUACUCACUGCCACCUGCCACUUAGGAAACGGCUAUGUUCAAAACUAGGCUUUUCAUAGCAUGCUUGAGAGCAAUGGCGCUAUCCUCAGCCUGCCUCACUCACUCCUCCUAGAAAGAGGCAGACAGUGAGAGGAUGGAUGAAGUGCUGAAGGGUGUCCCCAGGGUCUUUGCACUGGCAGGCUAAAUACAGCCUGGAAGACUGCAGGUCUUCAGAGAGGAGUAAGCUGGAAACUGGGCUGGGUUGCUGGGGCGGUAAUGGGAGACUGAAGCUUGACUAAAGAACAAAAGCAGCUAUCUGGAUGAGGCAGGAAAGAAAGAGCUAACCCCAAGGGAGCAAGAUAAAGACAUGGGCUUUAUCAUAAGCUGAACAGUUCAGCCAAAGAGACAGCCAGUCAUCUAUCCCCUCUGGCUCUUGGACUGGAACGCAGCCCUCCACUCCCAUGCGUGCUGCUCUCUUCCUGCCCACCCGCUAAGCGCUAACGGAAGAAGGAGCAUCCCGUAUUCUUUCAGUGUUCUGCAAAUGGCGCAGGGUGGUGGAUUUCCUCUGACUGGAUGGCACUCAAAUUUGAGGACAUUGGAUUUCACAAGAAAGGAAGUUGAGCAAAGGAGUUCGUGAACAAUAAGAAUGCUUAUGGUAUCAGUUCAAAUUUCAAGCAUUUCCUGUCAGAUCUGGAGUGCUAAAUCCUUGGAGAAGAAAAGACAGAUAAAUGUACUGCUUUUCCAGUACUAAGACCUUUCAGACUUUACUCAGACACAUCUUUAUUUUUUCUUUGAACGGCUGCAUUCAAGACAGUUGUAUAGAUCAGAAUCAAAUGAUGAGGCAAGGCAGCACACAGCUGUAAGUCUCUAUGGACUUUUUACGUUCUUUGCGUAUCCAGACCUCUACACAGACUUCUUUACUGUUGCAGAGACACUGAUUCAGUCAGUGUUGCUGCUAAACACAUUACCUCAAUAUACCAUUGUAGCAGCUGCUUUCAAACUUGAUCCUCGUUAAACAGGGGCAUUAGACUCAUGAAAUAUUGUUGCUACCAAAUUCAUGCAAUAACAAAUACAUAUCAUUUAAACAAACAGCAGUUUACCGUCCGUUGCUUGCUGAAGCUUGGGAAGAUGAAGGACUCAUGUGAGAAAGUGGUCUCAUGUUUCUAAAAGCCAUUUCUCACAGCUAUGCCUCAUCAGCUCAGGCCAGAAGCUCAUAAAACUUGCCAUGAAUAGAGGCACCACUGUCUAAACUAUUUUGGCACUUGUUUCACACACACAUGCACAUACUUACACACUGAAGCGCACGCUCAUUCACCCAUCUCACACAUGUCAAGUCACUUUCACAUGCUCUUUGUUAUUCUUGUCUCACUUGUCUUGCACAUGCUUAUUCCCAUUGACUCGUAUCACCUCAAGGAGGGAGAUGGAACUAGGGCACUAUGGCACUACCCAGCUGGGGAUGUGGCAUCCCUGGACUGCAGGAGCAGGUGAAGGCCUGUGAAUACCAGGCCUUGUCCCUCUCUUCACCCUCCCUCCUCCUGUCUUUCUCCUCCCUUCCCUUCCCUUCCUUCCCUUCCCCCAGGGCCUCGCAGCCAGAGGCUUUCAAAACAGCACACAUAAUCAAAGCUUUCUCUCUUCUCUCUCUCUCUCUCUCUCUCUCUCUCUCUCUCUCUCUCUCUCUCUCUCUCUCUCUCUCUCUUGCUCUCUCGCUCUCUCGCUCUCCCUAAAGAAAAUGCCCAUAACAAAAUGAAACAGCAUCACACGUGCAUCUGCAGCAAGGCCACACUUUAUGCUUUAUCACUAUUAGGUCAUUUUUAACGGUGUUCGAAUCAAAGUGUCAACCAGUUCCACUCUGUUUUAGCUAACACUGGAACACUAAUUUAGUAAGUACUAAUUAGCUAAAUGCCCUCCAGGCUCACCUGUCAUUAGCCAACCCAAAAGAAGAGAUAAUAACACCUUUCCAUUCACAUUGCUGACAUAUGCACACCAUAAGCUUUUACUCAUGCCACCAUAGAGCUGUGUGUUGCAGUGUAUUGGAAGUGCUGUAGGUCAUCUCUGUUUUCUUUACUGUUGGUUAGAGAACACGAUGACUUCUCGUCUCUCUCUAAACUCUCCUCUGUCCAAAAUGGAAAAAUAAUCAGUAGCAUAUUUAAAUAGCACCCAAGAAUAUGACUGGUCUUGAAAUUGUUCUCUGGUGAGAUGUAAUGUAAUGAGUAAAAUGUUUCCAGUCUCUGCAAUCCACUUUAGUCAGCUGUUACAGGUCAGAGUGAGACAUGCAUUUUCUUUUGCUCCAUAUAUUCACUGUACUGAAACGACUUGAAUCAGAAAUGAGACCAUUGAAAAUAGAUUGUGGCAUGUCUAGGGUAAAACUGUACUUGCUCUGUCCUUAGCUUACAAUUCAACUUCAUGUGAUUAUAGAUCAUAGAUGUAUUCAUCAGGCUUUGUUUAUUUGUAAUAUAUAUUUCUGUGUUGUGUUUUUUUAAAUUUUAUUAUUAUUAUUAUUAUUAUUAUUAUUAUUAUUAUUAUUAUUAUUAUUAUUAUUAUUUCCAUUUUCUGAAUGAUGAAAGCAUAUUUAGUCCACAUUUUUCCUGAUUAUUGUUAAUUUUUUUUAUGUUUUAAUCUUAGUUCCUUCUUUAUGCAGAGACACUGAAUCUUUGUUAUAAGCAGGAUAUAGUGUUUUUUUUUUUCCUUUAAAGGUUAUGGAGAGAAGCAGGAGUAGGGGGUUAACUUUUCUAAGGCUAAUCUUUUCUUCUUUAAUGCCUUGCACAUGAUUGGUAUAAUUAGCUUCAAUUUCAAAUGACACAUAAACAUAGAGACCAUAGCAUUGUGAAUAGUUAGUGUAGUCCCAUGCUAUUAUUAUUGUUACAUUUUUAUUAUUCUCUCCUUGGUUAUAGAUUGUGUUACUCAUAAUGUUUUUUCCAAACUUGUACUUUACAAAGCAACUCAGAAGGUUAUGAAGUAUGAAGUAUUUUGUUAUUAGAGUGGUAUAACUGAAAUAAUGGGCCAACUAUCAUGUCAACAUUACCUGAUUCGUUAAUAUUCAUUAACUGUAAAGUUGAAAAAGAAACUUUUCAUGAAGUCCUUUCAUGUUAAUCAUGAAUCACAUUUAACUAUACAAAUGUCCCCAAAUAAGCAUAAUUUAUUUUCUAUUUGUUGCCAGAACUAUACUAAUCAAAAGUAGUAGAUUUUGAUUUUGGGAAAUGUAACUAAUAUUUUUUAAAUAGCACAUUAGCUUUGAUAAUAAGUGCCAAAGGCAUUAAAGUAGCAAUUCCAGGAGAAACCCUUAGAAAAUUAAUGCGUAUUCCAUAAUAGAUGACAUUAACUAAAUAACCUUGUACAGUUUUCUAUGAGUGAUGUGUUUUUAAGUACGUGUACAGGACUGAAUGAUGUUCAUUAGAUACCCAAGUAUUUUUUAUGUUUAGCUCUUUUUUUUUUCUUUUGGUGUGACAUUAAUGUAGCUUUAUGUUGGUUUUUGUCUGAUUAUAUUGCUUUCUUAAUUUGUCUUAUGCUGUACAAUUUAGAACAUACAAGGCUAAUUAUCCUAAACUCUUGGACGCUAUUAUUGUUAUAUUAAUCAGAAGUGAAAACCCAACCAUUCCAAAGGAUUGCAAUUUCAUUUGCUGUAAAUGUGCUGCUUGUAUCAAACCAAUGCAUAGAAGUUACAUUACUUUUAUGUAUUUAUUUUAUGUUCUGUUUUGGACUGUGAUGUAUUUUAUUGAGAUACAUUUGUGACAAGUUAAUUUGGGUACUUUUCUUAACAUUGCUCCUACUUUUCUUUCCUGCUGUUUUGACAAUGCGCUUAUACUAUAUUUGAUGGUGCCUACUGGACAAAAUAGACACAACCAUUCAUGUUGGGACAGAAUAAGCAGUAAACCCUGAGACUCUCGUAAAAGGGAUUUUGCAAGCCUGCUUGCUUGUGUACGUGCAGGUGUGCAUAUUAUUUUGUAGCCAAGUGAAAGACAGACAUGCAAAACAGGAGUUAGGCCCAUGGAACUGUUGCAUGGAACAUGGGCCAAACUGGUACAAAGCACCUGCCACUUGAGCCAUAAAGCAAAUGAACCCACACUGUACAAUUAAUUGAAGUUCAUCACUGGGUUCCUGUAACUAGAGCCUCACUGGGUUGUCACCAAAGACCACUAGAGUGGAUGAAUGUGGGGAUGUUUGCAUUUGCGUUAGCUGGAAUUCAGGCUGCCAUUUCACAAAGCACAUUAGAGUACUUUCAACUGAAAGGAAAAAAUGUUUAUCCUUCAAAUCAUAUGACUCAUUGGGUUAUUCCCAAAUGUGUCUGCCAGAAAGUUCAGGAAACAAAAGAGACCCUUUCAGUUAUGAACAAAGCCACGGUAAACCUAAUGGCUUGCUCAAUGUGUCAAUUGUCCCAGCAACACAUACCUGUGAAGACUUAUGUAGACUGUUGUUUGCCCGUUAUUUCCUAUGGGUUCUUCUGGUCAGUCUAACCCUAAAAUGAAGGGUGUCCACAGGUAGAAUAGCACUGUGCUUGUGCAAGUUAGUUUUUCUCCAAAUAACCUGUGAUUGGCAGCAUAAAUACUAUUCAGUAAUUGUGUGGCCUGGGAGGAAAACCCCCUGACAUCAAGUGUAAGCACAUUGUAGGAAUUACUGGAAACAUCCUCUAAAUAAAAUUGUAAAUGUUUAUCAGGGGAAAAACGUGGUUUUGUUAUUGCUGGCAUCAUGUUGAUACCAUUAAUCCCUCAAAAAUAUUUCAAAUAUGGCGGAUUUAAUUCUGUACUUUCACUGUACAUGAAGGCUUGUAAAAUAUGGUCUUAUUCUUGGUCACUGAUGCUUUUAAAGCAUGUGGUCAUUUGUGUCAGUUUGGUCGUCUCUUAAUCGGUGUGGUCAGACUCAAACACACAACUUACAUUUUGGAAGCAUUCAGCAUCCAGUGGUGUCAGCAGGGACUGUCGUAGCAGCUGUUAAUGAGCACGCAUGACUGGAUUACUAUAGUAGGCUCAACCUCAGAUCCGCCCAUCCCUUUGUUCCCUUUUUUAUGAUGUGUAAACUUCUUUUUACUGAAAACAGCUAUGAGGCCCACCACCUAUGAUAUUUGAUACAGAAUAGAAAAGGGCUGACUGUCUUCUAAUAGGUUUCUCUCUUUUUUUUCAAGACUUCUCAUCUUCUAUCUAUAUGGGAGGAUUCACUUGUAGCUGGAUACCCAAAAUCUAUAGAUAUUAGUGAUGUUAAUUGGUGACAUUCAAUGGCCACAACCAAUUAUUAAAUGUCUUUGUGCUUUUGCACACCAAUGAUGCACAUUGUUUUGUACUGACCAUAAAUCUCCAAUCAUAAAAUGAACAAAUACAGAUGUCGUAUAAAGAAUUUUCGGGAGGUCAUAGACGCUUCGAUCUGUCCUCUAGGCUUUAUGUGUAUACUUGGCUUGCCUUCCUGAUAUAUGUAUUAGUCUUUAUUUUCUGUCACCAUGCAAUGCCUGUUUCUGUGACUACAGCGCAGCUAUAAAGCGCUUUGUACAAAAUAACUCAUAUUUCAACUAUGGCCAGUUCCUCUCUUCAUGACCUCAUUCAAAACCUGCCAUUCAUCACCAUUUUUUAUCUUCUUUUUUUUCCUCAAUCAACCAAAUCACUACAGUGAAGUAUUACAGUUGUACAGUUCCAUGAAUUAUACCAACUCUUAAUGUUGCUGGUCAUGGUUGCUCUGCUGUAUCUUUUUAUGACAUUAUUUUUUACAUUCUAGACAAUAUAUUGUGACUCUGUCCUAUGCAAAUAUGAGAAUUAACAAGAAUUUGUCAAAUAAUGUAUGUGUCAACUUGUAUGCAUGAAAUAGUGAAGUUUACAUUUGAAAAUAAAUGCAUAAAUAAUCAGCUUUAUUGUGGUGAAGGGUGUGAGUUAUUUAUUAUCUUGAAUUCUUGUUUUUCUCUCAACAGAUGGUGUCUAGUAUGAUGAAAUGAUUAUUUCUCACUGGCAUUUAUGUAACACACGAUUAAAGCAAAUUAAAGUAAACAAUAGUGUUGGCAAUGUAAAAACCUUCUGAAUGUUCAUAGCAUCAGUAUAUUAACCACCUAAACUACAGGUAUCUUUCGGUGGGUUCACAUUUACAUUCCUUACUCUUGUAACUACAUACGUUUUGUUAUCAGUUUCAGUGCAGUUACUCAAUUAUUCACAGUAGUUAGUGCAAAUUAUGCUAAAAUAAAUAUUAUGCUAGAGUGUAUAGAUGUAUAAAAUAAUAAUAAGGAGUUUAAGGGGUUAGCUAAAUAGCUAAACUCUUAGGUGUUCCUACAACAGCCAAUAGAUGCACUUGUUGUUCAUCAGGGCAUGAAUGAAAGCGGAAAAUAAAUAAACACCACUGGUGAUGUCAGUUGUGGGAAAGACUGUGCCCUGCUGACUGGGGCUGCGUGUAUACAGGAAGUGCACCUUGUUCCUGUGUCUGCACCCAUGCAAAUAUUUACUGUAAGUGAUGUGAAGUGUGUUUUCUUAAUAAAGCAUUUGCUGUACUGCAUAUAGCAAGGCAAUCUCUACAUAGCCCAGUGACCUGGCAAUGCAAUACUUUUUCUGUCAUUCACAUAUGUGGGGUUUGGCAUCAUGUGUACGUGUUCACAUAUGGGAAAUUUCCCCUCUGUGAAGUCUAAUAAUGCCUAUUAAGUAUAAAUCUUGGCAUAGAUUAAAGCAAGCAUCUCAGUAAUAGCAUAUAUCUUGGUUAUAUAAGAAAAAUAGUAUUGAGUACACACCAACUGUUUCAUCCUUGUUCUGCUAGUCUCUAUCACUUUGGAGAUGAACAGGAAGGAAGAACGUGCUAAAAAUAUUCAGAGAGAAGGUUGGUGUGUUCCCUGCUCAGUCUGCCCACCUCCUGUCUCUCUGUCUGUCCAUGCCACGGUCAUGCCAAAGAGUUUGGUGUGUGUGGUGGUGAAAAGGAGGUUGGGGGGAUGGUGUCUGUGGGAUCAUGUGCAUAUGUGUGUGUCUCUGUGUUUUACAGUUAAUAUAUUCCCCACUCUUAAGUCUAAUUACAAAGCAGGAGCUGUCUUGUGAAUUUCUUUUACUGACUUUCCUCCUCUGAUACUGUUAUUAUGAUGAGUACACUGCAAGAUUCUGCUUCCUCGUCCCCUUCUCUUGGAGAAACUAUAUUCUGCCAGCCUGGAACCAACAAUUUACUGCAAAUUUGAGAAUAAUUAUGGUAAGAUGAGGUCACGUUGCCAUAUAGACAAGGUGUUCAAAGGAAGACAUAAUGGCUUGAGGUCAACAGCUAUUUCUAUUUAUAAUCGAAUUAGGAUGCCAGUUUUUGAAAGCAAAGUGAAUUGUAGCUCCAGUCAUGGUGUGUUAUGGAGUGCCUCAUUUGAAACUCAUUGUUUAACAUUUUAUUAAAGCUCAUUUUCAGCAUAGAUUUAGACAGAAUGCUGCAGAACUCAUGAUUAUCUACAAUGAUUGCCAUUGUUAUUGUUUUUUGUUUGUUUGUUUUUGUUGUUGUUGUUGUUGUUUUUUGCAUUUAUUAAACAAUCUUGCUUGUUAGUUUACCUUGGGAGUAUCUUACUGAACUCCUAAAGCAGUACAGUCCACCCCAAGCAUUUUGGUCAGCUGAAGCAGAUGUGCUGUUUAGUCUUAAAGAUCUUUUUCAGCUCACCCGGUGAAACAUGUUUUUCUUUUUUUUUUGCCCCUAAACUCUGGAGUAGUGUUCCAAGGUUUUGGGGCAAAGCAUUAGGAAUGCAAUUUAUAUUUUAUAGUUGAUUUAAAUCCUGAUUAAAACAUACUUUUAGGCUGCACACAUCCAUAAACUCUGCUACUGGGUUAAAUCUCCUGGGUCUUCUUGGUGUAAAUUGGAACUAUCAUCUUGUAGGGAAUCCUCUUUACCUGCUUUACUUUAUUCCUCUCUACCUACAAAACUCUCUAUAUACCGAUAAUUAAGUUGUCCUUAACACACUUAAGAUUUGGUAUCAAUUUAGACGGGGCGUUAAAAUUUGUAGGUGCAUCCUCUUUGGGUCCUUUAAGCAACAGCCACUUAUUUCCUCCAUCGUGUUUGGACUAUACAUUUUCAGUGUGGUAUGACAAGGGCAUUAAACAAUUAAAAAAUCUGUAUGCCGAUGGUGUGUUUGAUAGCUUUGCCAAUCUGUCAUCUACUUAUGACCUCCCUGUGACGCAUCUAUUUCGUUUCUAGAUGUUUUCCUAAUUUCCCCUCUGCACCUCCUGAACAGGCUUGGGAAAACUUGUUUUCAAACAAUCCACAUCAGAGAGGAAUGAUUUCUAGGAUAUAUGAUUUUAUUCUGGCGUUAGGUACUGAGUCGAGUACCAAAAUUAGGAAUGCAUGGGAAACGAGCAUUAGGAGUUAGGAGUACAGAUAAGUGAAGAGUGUUGGGAACGUGCUAUAGGUAGGAUACAGUCUACCACUUCUUGUGCUCGUCUUGGACUCAUCCAGUUCAAGCACUGGACUGUCUGGGUCCACGAAACAAUUUGGACUCGCAGGCAGCAAUCACCUGCGUUCUACUGUCUUCAGUCCCACUGGUAGUCACUGUGCCAAGUCUCUCCAAAUUUGCAUAAAGAUAAACUUUUCUCAACUUUGUAGCAUCACUGGACACGCCCACAUCUAGUCGCCAAUGGUCACUGUCCCUCAUGUUGCUGGAAGUCGCCAGCUCUCAUUGAAAAUGAAUGGUCUCCAGAAGCUUUGUCGCUGCAAGUCCCUGUACAGUAUGUAUGAACAUACUCUGUUAAGUCUAAGUCUGCACUUAGGCUUAUUGUUUACUUUAAAGCUAGCUUUUAGCAGCCUCUGAAUAUUUUUAAACUAUGCCAAUUUGCCACAAAAAACAAAAAAAACCACCCAACAAAAAACACAACUCUGACAACCCUGUCAUUUAUGGAGCUGAAGCAUGCUGUCCCAUGAUUCAUCAACAUUGUUGGUCACUCAAAAGAGGUCAUUAGUAUUUCAGUUGAGUUUAAAAUGUAUAGGGUUGUGAAUCAGGUCUUUAUGAAGAUGAACAUUUGAAUGGCUGAAUAUUGAACGGCUGAUAUAUGUGGAUGAACCACCACUGGCUUUCAAACUAUGAUGCAUACACAACUCAAAAUUCACAUAAUGAUUAAUUGAUCCAAUAGUUACCUCACCUUGCAUUAUCCUGCUCUAUCUCACUCUCCCACUGUGUCUGUUCACUUGGUGGCAAUCUUGGCAACUCUAAUGAACACAUCCAUGCAUCCAUUAUUUACAGUGAACAAUAUCUUCUCUGUAUUAGCUUCAUCAUAUUGACGUGUAAGGUUUGUUAUGAAGUUUGGCUCCUGCUUUGGCAGAACCAAAAGCAUAAUGGGCAUAUUAUGAUGAGUUACAUAUGACUGGCUUUUUC